rnacentral:rRNA from 1 species
CAACGGGGCGCACCAGUGAGGAAUAUUGCACAAUGGGGGGAACCCUGAUGCAGCAACGCCGCGUGGAGGAUGACGCAUUUCGGUGUGUAAACUCCUUUUAUAUGUCAAGAAAAUGACGGUAGCAUAUGAAUAAGCACCGGCUAACUCCGUGCCAGCAGCCGCGGUAAUACGGAGGGUGCAAGCGUUACUCGGAAUCACUGGGCGUAAAGGACGCGUAGGCGGGUUGGAAAGUCAGGUGUGAAAUCCUACAGCUUAACUGUAGAACUGCACUUGAAACUUCUAAUCUAGAGUAUGGGAGGGGGAGAUGGAAUUAGUGGUGUAAGGGUAAAAUCCGUAGAUAUCACUAGGAAUACCUAAAGCGAAGGCGAUCUCCUGGAACAUUACUGACGCUAAGGCGUGAAAGCGUGGGGAGCAAACAGGAUUAGAUACCCCUGUAGUC